CGAUUCUUUCAUUGGCAGUUAAUGCCAAAUAUAGCAAAAUUGUUCAAUGCAAAAAGAAAAUAAUUCGUGGAGGCUAGGUUUUUGAUGAUCGUGGAGUCUAGGUUACUGAGAUAUAUAUAAACUAUGCAAGGUUAUUGGAUUUGCACCUCUGUUAUGAUCGCAUAUAGUCAAUCAAUUUCGCACAUCCAGUGGGUGGGACGGAACACCAUAAGACAAUGGAUGUCCAAGAACAAGGUUGGUAGCACUUUGUGUUGGAGUUUCUGUAGGCUCAAUGUUUUAAUAUAAGUGGUGCAUUUAUAGGAUUUGAUAUGAAGGAAAAAAGAAGAUUAGGAAGAAGAAAAAUAACUCUGAUUCAAACGAAGAAGAAGGGAAAGAUGUUACUUAUGAAUCUUCUAAUUGGUGCAGUUGCGGGAUCAGUUGUACAAAGUGGGUCAUUUGUAUUCUUUAGAAUAUACCCGCACAAAGCUCAUUCAACUUUCGGUGAUAGAGGAGUAUGCCAAAGCUCUAACAAAUGGACCUAAUAUUUUAGUAUGUCAACUUUUUGACUAAUUUUUUUUUUGUAAGUUGGAUGUUAUGAAUGAAUGAUAAUUGAGUUGGAUUUUUAUCAUUUAUCAAUGCACAUCGAUUUCUUGAUUUUUGUUGAACAUGCAUGCCUUACAUUUUGGUUGAGUUCGAUUUUUAGCUUAAUCGUCUUUUUAUCUGUUCGAACAAUCUUAUUUUUGUGCUAUGAUUGAUCAUAAUAACUUCAUUUUUGUUCACAUGAUUUUUAGCUAAGAGUCGGGAAGGUAGUAAGCAGGUAUGUGCUAUUGUUUCUUUGUUAUUUCUAAAUAUAAUGGGACAUAGAUAAACUACCAACUGUGACUUAUCAGGAUGAACUGGGAAGUUGAUGAGUGGUCUAAUGAUUAGAAAAUGAGCUCCCUUACUCACUCAAAAUUGUUUAAUCACUGAUUCACCGUUACUACUUGAUUGGCUUCCACUUGAGAAGAUUUGGUAGGGAACUAGGAGAUGGCAAGUUUUUAGUCAACAACCAUUACUCCAUUAGUGUAGCUGAAGGGAUGUCUGUGUUUUUCCGUUAUCUAUAUCUAAUGACAAGUUUGCUGCCAGUGUGCAUAUUAACAGAUACUUACAAACUGAAUUUAUCUCUAGCAGAAUCACCACAUUAUCCACUGGCAAAAGAGGCGCGCCAACUGAUGAGAAGGUUUGAAAAAUCUCAAAGACUUGGUUGUGCUGUCUCUAUGGUUAGUGCAUAAUUUUUUUCGUGUUUGUUGUGCAUAAAUGUUUUAAUGUACAGUCAAGGGAGAUCAAGUUUGAAUGUACACAACCAGUACUUCCAUCUGCUUUUUUAUGCGUACCAGUACUUCCAUCUGCUUUUUUUAUGCAACGGCUACGUUCUCUCACCUAUGGUUCUAUUGUAUUUGAGCCUUCGUUCAAAUAGGUUCAACUUUCGAAGAGUUAUUAUCAAAAUCAGAAUUCGAGCCUUCUGGCCUUCAAAUAGGUUCACCUUUUGGAAGAGUUAUUAUCAAUAUCAGAUUUUGAGCCUUCUAGCCUUCAAAUAGGUUCAACUUUCGAAGAGUUGUUUGCAAAAGAACCUCCUUUGUGUUCAUAUGAUGUGUUGCGAUGUGAUUUAUAUGCUUUUAAAUUAUAUAGUGCAGUUACUGUCAAUGUCAAUGGGAUCAACUGUUGUAACUUACACAGUUAGUGUCAAUGGGAUAACUACAUGAUCAC